UACGUAGGGGGCAAGCGUUGUCCGGAUUUAUUGGGCGUAAAGAGCGUGUAGGCGGCUUGGAAGGUCAGCUGUGAAAACUCGAGGCUCAACCUCGAGACGUCGGUUGAAACCACCUGGCUAGAGUCCGGAAGAGGAGAGUGGAAUUCCUGGUGUAGCGGUGGAAUGCGCAGAUAUCAGGAGGAACACCGAUAGCGAAGGCAGCUCGCUGGGACGGUACUGACGCUGAGGUGCGAAAGCGUGGGGAGCGAACAGG
rnacentral:rRNA from 1 species